rnacentral:rRNA from 1 species
AGUGAACGCUGGCGGUAGGCCUAACACAUGCAAGUCGAACGGCAGCACAGUAAGAGCUUGCUCUUACGGGUGGCGAGUGGCGGACGGGUGAGGAAUACAUCGGAAUCUACUUUUUCGUGGGGGAUAACGUAGGGAAACUUACGCUAAUACCGCAUACGACCUACGGGUGAAAGCAGGGGAUCUUCGGACCUUGCGCGAUUGAAUGAGCCGAUGUCGGAUUAGCUAGUUGGCGGGGGAAAGGCCCACCGAGGCGACGAUCCGUAGCUGGUCUGAGAGGAUGAUCAGCCACACUGGAACUGAGACACGGUCCAGACUCCUACGGGAGGCAGCAGUGGGGAAUAUUGGACAAUGGGCGCAAGCCUGAUCCAGUCAUACCGCGUGGGUGAAGAAGGCCUUCGGGUUGUAAAGCCCUUUUGUUGGGAAAGAAAAGCAGCAGGUUAAUACCCCGCUGUUCUGACGGUACCCAAAGAAUAAGCACCGGCUAACUUCGUG